AUGACCCCAAACACAUACACAUCCGACAUGAAAGUAGUUGACCCAAAUGAGAUGAAGGAAACUGGCUACACGAGAUUCGCAUGGCAUAGAAUGACAUGUACUAAAAACAUGGCAUCAGGACUUGCCGACGCGCAUAAAAUGAUCAGCAACCACGGGCACCACAAUGGCAUCAUAUUGUUCUUCUCUGAUGGCUUGAUAAACAAGGGGGACUUCUUUGAUGGAACUGAAAACUUUAUCUCCAAAGUGCAUGUCCACACAUUUACCCUCGGCGGGGACGCAUAUAACCAUGUCCUCCACUCCAUUGCAACAAAUUCUCCAGGUGGGAAGUUCCACACCAGCCCUGUUCCAGAAAGGCCAAACCUAUCAACAUCCUUCUCCAAGCUACUGGAUAACCUACUUGGCAGAACCCGAGAGGAUGAUGAGAGGCCUGUUAGUUCCAUUUCAGGAAGGGAGACACUAUAUGUGGUGAUUGUGUACGCCUUUGACAGCACUGAAUCAGCCCCAACCUGGUACACGGUCGAUAAUGGGAUCUUUUGGUUGCUUCAAGAGAAGUUGACGCACUACCCUGAAAGUUGCAUGGGUUACAUCUAUGUUGACAUGACCCCAAACACAUACACAUCCGACAUGAAAGUAGUUGACCCAAAUGAGAUGAAGGAAACUGGCUACAUGAGAUUCGCAUGGCGUAGGAUGACCUGUAGUAAAAACAUGGCAUCAGGACUUGCCGACACGCAUAAAGUGAUCAGCAACCGCGGGCACCACAAUGGCAUCAUCUUGUUCUUCUCUGAUGGCUCGAUAAACAAGGGGGACUUCUUUGAUGGAACUGAAAACUUUGUCUCCAAAGUGCCUGUCCACACAUUUACCCUCGGCGGGGACGCAUAUAACCAUGUUCUCCACUCCAUUGCAACAAAUUCUCCAGGUGGGAAGUUCCACACCAGCCCUGUUCCAGAAAGGCCAAAUCUAUCAACAUCCUUCUCCAAGCUACUGGAUAACCUACUUGGCGGAACCCCAGAAGUUGAUGAGAGGCCUAUUAGUUCCGUUUCGGGAAGGGAGCCAUUAGACGUGGUGAUUGUGUAUGCCUUUGACUGCACAGAAUCAACCCCAGCCUGGUACACGGUGGAUAAUGGGAUCGUUUGGUUGCUUCAAGAGAAGUUGACGCACUUCCCUGAAAGUUGCAUGGGUUACAUCUAUGUCGACUUGACCCCAAACACAUACACAUCAGACAUGAAAGUAGUUGACCCAAAUGAGACGUAG
rnacentral:rRNA from 1 species